GUCACUCCAGUGACUAAUGUGACAUCUUAAAUUCAGAUCGGACUGACCCAGUCGGGUUUAGGGUGCCACACCACGAGCUUUUUAACUUCUUUUUUAUCCCGACUUUACUCCAUAACUCCAUCAUUUCCUCCCCUCUGCAUUCAACUUCUGUCCUCUAUCACCAACACUUCCACUCUCACCAAGGCCUCUUCUAUCUAGUACCUAAUCGUUUCAAACCUUUGGCCUUCCUGAGCCAGUCCAUGUGCUGCGACGUAUGCUUCUCUGGGUCCAAGACAUUUUUAAUCGGGAUACUCCCAGGUCCUUCAGGAUCUGCCUUGUGAACGAGCAAUCUUGAAACACAUGCUCAAUAGUUUCCUGACCAUCUCCACAAACAAGACAUUGAUUUGCCACUGCAAAUUUCCUAUUUUGUAACACCUGUAACGUAGUCAUUAACCACUUGUAUCCAUUCUUUGCGGUGUAUACUCCACUGUUGUCACCUCUUUAAAUCCACUUGUCAUCUUACACACAAUUUCUCAGCGGGAUUGUCAAAAUUAUUCUUGCAUCAUCUUCCUCAAACAGUUCACAAAUCACAUCCUCUUUCCAGGCCCUGGCAACCAAGCAUCGUUCCAUAUAUUCACUCCAGUUCCUCCCUUGAUUCGCCACCCACAACCCUACUCCAACAACUUCCUAGCACUCUAGAUACUUCUCCAGGUAAAAGAUGGGAUAGAGUACAGUCGAGAUAUGGUGUGUUAUAGGGGACUGGAGUGGAGAUGGUUAUGGAGUUAUGGAUAUAUGUUUCCUGAGUAAACUGAGGUUCAUCAUUUGUUACGAACUCUCGUGUUAUACUCUUUCUUUUGGUGUGUUUCGGUUGGACUAGCUCUUACGAGCAUUGGUGUGUUUCAGAGGGAUUAGCUCUAACGAGCAUUGGUGUGUUUCGGAUGGAUUGGCUCUUAUGAGCAUUUGGUGUGUUUUCGUUGGAUUGUCGAUGUACUCUUAUCCAUAAGACGUUCAUUGAAUUAAAAAUCUCGAUACUCGGAAGGUUGGACGAUCGGAUCGACACUCAAGUCACACUAUCCAACUUAAUUCGAUAGUUUUUGGAAUGUUUGUUUCAGAUUAUAUGGCAUGUAAUAGGCUUUUGUGUUGUUAUUACUAACGUUUUGGAAUAAGUAAAAUGCUAAGUAUGAUAUAAUG